CUGGACCAAUUUCUGUCCAGCGGAGGCAGGAUACAAUCCCCUUCUGUAAGAAAUGCGGUGCCUGAUGCAAGAAAAAACUCGGCAUUCCUCGGUGCGGAGAGCAUGGAAACUGCUGUUUCAACGCCAGUGAGUCCGCCGCCGGCACUUGGGCCUCCCAGAGAUCUCAUAACCCGCAUAUUUUCACAGCUCGACUGCAAAGAUCUCCUCCAUUGCUCUCUCGUCUGCAAGCAGUGGUACAGAGACUCUGCUGAGCUGAGGGAGGGUUGGAAGAAGGAAUAUUUAGAAGCAUGUAACCUGUUUGGGCUGUGCAUUAAAAGGGAAACCCAUCCACCAUCGUCCACAUGUUCCAUAAGAGGCGCGCAUAGUUGGUGUCCAUGAUGUUCAGAAUUCUCAUUUAUCAAGUGCUAAGACUCAACUCAAGAGACUCUCAAGUCUUAACAACUCAAGACUCAAGAGUCAAGGGUCAAGUCUCAACUCUCAAGUGGCAAUCACACACUCAAGUCCCAACAAAGUGAACAAAUUUUUCUAUUUUGUUUCAUACUUUUCAUUGUAAUUUGUUGACUUGUAGUUUCCAGUUUCUAGUUUCUACUUUGUACUUUGUAGUUUCUAGUUUUUAGAUUUUAGACUUCUAGUUCUACUUUAUUUCAACUUUCUAGUUUAUUUCAAGUUUGAAGUUUCUAGUUUCUUGUAAUCUUGUUUAUUUUUAGUUUGUAGUUUCUAGGAUUCAAGAAAGAUUUAAGAAGUGCGAUCAUUUACAACUUUCAAGAA